UGGGAAGGAGCCGGCCUCUUCUCUAGGGCCCUGGGCAAGUCACUGCCCUCUUUGGGCCUCUGUUUUCUUAUCCAAAAAAUGUAGGGAUGAUGAGACUGAGAGGGGCUAAUGAUGAGCUUCAAAGGAGAAAAGAACUUUGAGAGUGCUUGUGCCUGGCUCUUCCUGAGAUGAUGAGAACAAUGGUGACAGCUACAUAUAACUGAGUCCUCACAAGGCCCAGUGAGGUAGGUGGUUCCCAUCACACUUUCAAGUUGAGAAAACAGUCUCAGGGAGGCCUGGCUGCAUGCCCAAGGUUCCACAUACAGGGAGUGUUGGAGCAGGGAGUCAAUCUAGAAUCAGAACUUACUGGAGAUGACAGGAGCAUUGGACCAGCUUACUCACACCAGUUAUCCAGGAUACCAGUGGCAGGAGCAUCCCUGCGAGAGGCCUGACCCAGGUGUGUAGCCCAAGCAGCCAGCCCGGAAAUCCAAUGGGGUGUUCUUGGGGUGCAGAGGAUUUGUGACAGUCCAUACACAGAAAAAGGAAAAGGUGGCUUUGAAGAGGCAAGUGCAAAGAUACCAGAGAUGGGGUAUUGUCAUUUUAGGCAGUGAAUUGACGGUUUCACUUACCAGGGAGCUCCCAUCGUGAGCUCCCAAAAGGCCUAACAACUGCUAGGCCCACGGGUCAUUAGCUCCACCUUUACGGAGAAGCUGCACUAUGCAUGUCAGAAGCGGGGUAGGCAGGGAUGAGGGAAAGGACGGGAUAAGGAAAGAAAAGAUGUGCGCUGAGCUGAGCUGCGGGAGGGUAAACCUAACUACGUAACAAUGAGCAGGCUGUGAGAGGCUCCUUGCCCCUUGCAGAUUUGUGAAAAAUCAAACUUCCGCCCAAGAAGCCGGCAUUUCAGGUAGGGGCGAUGAUGUCACAAUCACAGGUUGAGAUCUGCUGCCCAGGCCAUGCUUGCUCCCCGCAGGCAGGCGAGAUUUCGGAACAGCCAGGACCUCCUCCGCAUGGGGGAACCGCUCUAGACGCUCAGAGGGGCGGAGUUGAAACGGACCUGACUGGCCAGUGUCUCAAAGACGUGGAUGGUGACCAGCUCUCUCCAGAACAGAUGGCGCUCCAGCUUUGUGGGAGAAACUUUCAAGACAGAGUCUUGCUCGUGUUGCCCAGGCUGGAGUGCAGUGGCACGACUGCAGCUCACUGCGACCACUGCCUCCCAGGUUCGAGUGAUUCUUCUGCCUCAGCCUCCAGAGUAGCUGGGACUACAGGCACUCGCCACCAUGCCUGGCUAAUUUUCUGUAUUUUUAGUAGAGACAGGGUUUCACCAUAUUAUCCAGGCUGGUCUUGAACUCCUGACCUCAGGCGAUCCAUCUUCCUCAGCUCUGAGCUACCACACCCAGCCGAGAUGGAGUCUUGCUCUGUUGCCCAGGCUGGAAUGCAAUGAUGCAAUCUCAGCUCACUGCAACCUCCAUCUCCCAGAUUCAAGUGGUUCUCCUGCCUCAGCCUCCCAAGUAGUUGGGACUACAGGUGCUGCCUUCAGGAGGGAUUAUGACAUAUGCCUGGACCAAACACCUGGAUGACGUGACACUCCUGCAUGAGCCUUGCCCUAAGGGGAUAUUUUUACAUGUUGGUGAACUCAGCAUCUAGGUGAUGUGACUCUACUCUUCUGCCUGGGCCCUGCCCACAGAGGGCAUUGGAACAUUUCACUUGGCUCAGCACCAAGAAGAUGUUACUCUCCUACCUGGACCUCUCCCACAGGGGACACCUAGAUGAUAUGAUUUUUCUUCCUGGUUCCUGCCCAGACUUCAAAUUGUGAUGUAUAUCUGGGCCCAAAACACAGGUAAGGUAAUAACUCUCAUAGCUAGACCAAGACAAUAGAGAGAUUUUGACUUUUGUAGCUAGGCUUAGAACAAUGGGUACAUAUUCCUGGCCCAGCUCCCAGGUGAUAUGACCCUCCUACCUAGUUAGUGCUCACAGGUGUGAUUGUUACCUAUGUUUGGACUCAGUUCAUUGUGAGCAUUGUGAUCACUCAUACCUGGACCUAGCCACAAAAAAAUAUGUUGACUCUUAUACCUCAAAAUAGGAGACUCAACCCACAAGAGGUGUUGACUCUUACACCUUUUGCUGGAAAAUGUCCAGGAUUGUGAAUUUCUGCUAUUGAUUGGGUCCAGGUAUGAGUUUCAUUGCUGUGCCUGAGCUGAGUUCAAAAUAAGUCACUAUCUCACCUGUGGCUGCAUCUACAUAUGACAGUCACAAUUCCAAGUCUGGAUUGCAUUUGUGUAUGAGACUUAGGACCUCACCAGUAAGCACUGUCUAUGUGUGAGGGUGACAAUUCUAUCAGCUGGAAGUGCAUAUGAGAGUCACAAUGUCACCUUUGUUCUUGGUCCUGUUAUGACAUUGUAUCACUUGAAGGCUUUAUCCAGACCCAGGACCUUGCCUGUUGCCCUAAGCCUAGAUAUCAGAGUCAAAAUCUGUUCUCUUAGCUGGAUCCAGGUAUGAGAGUCAACAUCUCACCAGUGAGCUGUGACCAUGUAUAUGUCACAAUUUCACCUGUGGGCAGGAACCAGACAUGAGAGUCAUAUCACUUGGGUGCUGGGUAAGUGAUACAUUACAAUUCUUACUUUGGGCAGGGUCCAGGCAACAGAGGAGAGACACAUCACCUAUAUGAUUGGCCCAGCGAUGGGUGAAAAUCCUCUCUGAGAGCAGGGCCCAUUCAGGAGAGUCAUAUCACCUAGCUGCUUGGCCAAGUGAAAUAUCACAAUGCACCCUUUGCACAGGGCCAAUACAGGACAGUUACAUCACCAGGGAGCUGGGUCCAGCUAUAUGUCACAAUUCCUUUUGUGGAAAGUGUCCAGGCAGAAAAGCAGAGUCACAUCACCUAGCCAGUGGGCCCAGAGAGAUGCCACAAUGCCAUUUGUAGGCUGGGCCCUGGGAGAAGAAUAACAUCACCCAGUUCUGGGCCCAGCAAUAUGUUGUGAUCCCAACUGGAAAAAGUUUCCAGACAAGAGAGGAGAAUCACAUCAUCAUGAUGAUAAGCCAAGAGAUUUCACAAUCCCCCCCUCUGCACAUGUCCCAGGCAGAAGACCUGAAUUACCUUUUUACUUAGGCCAGUAAUGUCACAGUGCUUCCUCAGGGCAGGGCACAAACAAGAUAGGACAGUCACAUCAUUAAGUGCUAGACUUAAUGCUAGAUAUGUCAUAACCUUACUUGUGGGCAGGAUCCAGGAAGGAGAGAUUUAUGUCACCUAGGUGCUCAGUAAAGAGAUAUAUUACAAUUACAAUUCCUUUGAGGGAAGUGGCCAGGCAAAAUAGUCACAUCACCUAGGUGCUUGGCCCAGGUAUAAGUCACAAGAUAUCUGUGUGUUGAGCCCAGAAGGACUAUCAAAUUACGAAGUUUCUACGUAGAAGUGCAUGUCACAGACACCUGCAGGAAGGCCCAGGAAUGAGACUCCCAAUUCCACACAUUUUCCCACUCCAAGUGUAAGAGUCAACAACUCCUGAGACUUAGGCCCAAGUACAUGAGUCACAAUCUCAACAGUGGAUUGCAUCCUGCCAUGAGAGCCCCAAUCCCUUCUCUAAGCUGUGUUCCAGUAGAGGAGUCACAACAUCAAUGGUGUGCUGAAUCCUGGUUGGAGAGUUCCCACUUCACCUGUGGACUGGAUCUGUAUAUGAGAGUCUCAAUUCCAGCUCUCAACUGCCCCUGGGUGUGAGAUUCAGGACCUCAAUUGUGAGCUGUGUACACAUGGACAUGUAACAAUUUCUACUUUUGGCUGUGUGUUCAUACAAGACUCAAUCUCAUCUGUGUUCUCGGCCCUGUUAUGACACUCUUUGUACCACCCAUGGGAUUUAUUCAAUACGCAUGGGUGUCAUAAUCCUCUGUGAUCUUCAUACAAGUAGAAGACCCAGGACCUUACCCAUGGCCCUAGGCCUAUCUAUGAGAAUUGACAUUUUUCCUCACAUUUUUAAUUUUAACAAAUAAGUUAUUCUCCUGUCAGUUCAGAUUCAUCAGGACAUUGAAUCAUAUUCAGAAGAAUUAAAACUGAAAGACUAAUAGGUUUGUUAAAGCAAUGCAGGUUGUCAUACUAAUAAACCCUAAAAUUUCAAAGGCUUAGCAAAAUAAUACAUUUUCUGCUUACAUCACCAUCCCCUUUGGCUUAUUUCUGGUUAAGAGAACUUCUUUGUGAUUAUUCGGAGAUUAGAUUUUUUUAAAAUUUCCUAUCUGCACUCUCUCUUUCUUCAGCCAAUAGAUGAAAAAAGAUGCAAAGAAGACACAUUUGCUUUUUAUGCACACAUCACUUCCAGUCACUAUGUUGAGCAGAGUCAGUGUGAGGACAAUUGAGAAUAGCAGUUUUCUGGCAGGACAGCCACUUCUCAGCAGAAGAUGACACAAUAAAAGUAUAAAUCUUUCAUGGGAGGCUCACAUAUUUUCAGCAAAUUAAGCAUAUGCAUGAAUAAAAUUCUUGUGGUAAAAUAAAGAUGCAUUUUGUUGAUUCCUAUGGAGCUCAGGUAAUAUUGGAUAAAAAGCAAAAAAAUUAUUUGAAAUAGUAAUAUUGUGAAUGAAGUUAUUCUGUCAAUAGAAUUAAAA
rnacentral:lncRNA from 1 species